rnacentral:rRNA from 1 species
GUCCAUGCCGUAAACGUUGGGAACUAGAUGUAGGGACCAUUCCACGGUUUCUGUGUCGCAGCUAACGCAUUAAGUUCCCCGCCUGGGGAGUACGGCCGCAAGGCUAAAACUCAAAGGAAUUGACGGGGGCCCGCACAAGCGGCGGAGCAUGCGGAUUAAUUCGAUGCAACGCGAAGAACCUUACCAAGGCUUGACAUAUACCGGAAAAGUUCAGAAAUGUUCUCCUCGCAAGACCGGUAUACAGGUGGUGCAUGGUUGUCGU